rnacentral:rRNA from 1 species
GACGAACGCUGGCGGCGUGCCUAAUACAUGCAAGUAGAACGCAGUUACGAGCGGGUGAGUACCGCGUAGUUAACUGCCUCAUAGCGGCGGAUAACUAUUGGAAACGAUAGCUAAUACGUCCUACUUUGAGUUGCACCUGCGUUGUAUUAGCUAGUUGGUGAGAUAAAGGCUCACAAAGGCGACGACACAUACCCGACCUGAGAGGGUGAGCGGCCACAAGGGGGCUGAGACACGGCCCAGAAGCCUACGGGAGGCAGCGGUAAGGAAGCUUGGGGAAUGGAAGGAAGUCUGACCCAGCAAAGUCGCGGGAAGGAAGAAGGGUUUCGGAGCCGAAAGAUCUGGUGGUAGAGAAACGGUAACUAACCAGAAAGGGACGGCUAACUACGUGCCAGCAGCCGCGGUAAUAC